rnacentral:lncRNA from 1 species
UGAUUGCAAUUUCAUUGCACAGUAAAGCAUAAUCAGAACAUCACAUGCAUCACUUUUCCAGCUACAACUAUUAGAAAUGGACAUGGAAACAAUAAUGAUAAGAGUCACGUUAGGGCACACCAAUCCAAUGUUUACUUUGAGCUUCAAUCAAUCAUCUGUCUGCCCCACAUCGACUCUAUAAAUCAAAAAGAGGCACUAACCUGUUUCUAUCUAGGUAAGUUACAUACAUUCGAUCAU